rnacentral:rRNA from 1 species
CAAGUCGAGCGUGUACCCCGCAAGGGGGAAAGCGGCGAAAGGGACAGGAACACGUAGAUUACCUACCCUCUGGUUCAGGAUAGCUGCGGGAAACUGCAGGUAAUACUGAAUAACGUCUCCGGACCAAAGGUGUGAUUCCACCGGAGGAUGGGUCUGCGUCCUAUUAGCUAGUUGGUGAGGUAAUGGCUCACCAAGGCAAUGAUGGGUAGCGGGUGUGAGAGCACGACCCGCGUCACUGGGACUGAGAUACUGCCCAGACACCUACGGGUGGCUGCAGUCGAGGAUCUUCGGCAAUGGGCGCAAGCCUGACCGAGCGACGCCGCGUGCGGGAUGAAGGCCUUCGGGUUGUAAACCGCUGUCAGAGGUGAUGAAAUACAGGUGGGUUCUCCCAUCUGCUUGACAUAUCCUCAGAGGAAGUACGGGCUAAGUUCGUGCCAGCAGCCGCGGUAAGACGAACCGUACGAACGUUAUUCGGAAUCACUGGGCUUAAAGGGUGCGUAGGCGGCGCGACAAGUUGGGUGUGAAAUCCCUCGGCUCAACCGAGGAACUGCGCCCAAAACUGUCGUGCUCGAGGGAGACAGAGGUGAGCGGAACUUAGGGUGGAGCGGUGAAAUGCGUUGAUAUCCUAAGGAACACCGGUGGCGAAAGCGGCUCACUGGGUCUCUUCUGACGCUGAGGCACGAAAGCUAGGGUAGCGAACGGGAUUAGAUACCCCGGUAGUCCUAGCCGUAAACGAUGAGCACUGGGUUGAAGGGCCCCUCAUAGCCUUUCAGCCGCAGCGAAAGUGUUGAGUGCUCCGCCUGGGGAGUAUGGUCGCAGGCUGAAACUCAAAGGAAUUGACGGGGGCUCAC